CGCCGUCUUCGUCGUCUUCUGAUUACAGUGCCAUCUCCUGAGGUCUUGUUGCCGUCAUCUUCUGAGAUCUCGGCAUCAUCGCCUUCAUCUUUGAGAUCUCGGCGGCGUUGGCCUCAUCUGAGUUUGCAAAUCGUCUCAUCACCGUCCAGAUCUGACUUUCUCAUUGUCAUGCCGUUCUUUUCUCACCGUCGCCUCUUCUGGUCGUGCCGCCUCCACUGUUUACUCUUUUGUUGCAGAUUGUCGCCUUGCUAUCUAGGUCCACCGUUGCUCCUUGUCGCAUAGUUCAUUUCUCACCGCCACCUCCUCUGAUUCAGAUUUCAGAGGCAACCACCAUCACCACGAAAGUCCCAAGGCCUCCACCUUGCGCCCUUUGACGUGCAUUCGCAACACCCUUGACGCCGCUAUGUGCCUCCAGGCAUUGGUUGAGUCAUUGGACUUUAUAAUUGACACAGCAUCUGGUAAUCACCCUUUUGAUCCUUACAUGUUUCUUCUAAAAACAUGUGGUGUCUUAGUCUUAGUUGGGGCUCCAAGUGAAAUCAAAAUUAAGCCCAGGAAGCCUUAUUGGUGGGAUGAGAAGCAUUUUCGGAAGUGCUACAGGAGGCAUGAAAGAUACCCAAGAGAUGAUUGAUUUGUGUGCUGAAAAGGAGAUUUAUCCAAAUAUAGAAGUGAUUCCCAUUGAAUAUGCUAAUGAAGCUUUUGAAAGGAUCAUAAACAAAGAUGUCAAGUAUAGCAAAAGGGGUUGUCAUCAUUGCUGUAUGAGGAUUGUAAGAACCGACUUAACCGCUUUAAUAAAAUAAUAAUUUAAUCGUCCAAAAUAGGUUUGAAAAUAUAGAAAUCAUAUUUCGAAAAUAAAAAGGUGAAAUUUGAUUUCAAUGAAUUUUUCUGAGUGGAAAAUGUAUCUGUUGCAAAAAAUUGUUGUAAAAAUACGUACCGGAGCUUAAACCGGCAGUACCGGCUCUAGUCUGUCCGCUAUCGUAUUUUGAGAAAAUUAAGAUUUUUGAAAGUUGAUUUAUUGUUUUGAAAGCACAAAAAUAAUUUAGAAUCGAAAGCCGGGUACUAAUCUUAAAGGUUUUCGCAAACGGGUUGGACUAAGCCUAAACCAAGCCCAAGGCCCAACAUAUAUAUGCUCAUUAAAUGAGCAUUUCAGCUCAUUUCCUCCCUAAAUUAAAGAAGAGGGCGCAGCUUGAGAGAGAAGAGAGGUGACGGUUGGUCACUAUUCACUCCUCUCUCCGGUGACCAUAACUUGAGUUACGGAGCUCCGAUUGACGAGCGGUUUGUGACCACACGUUGCUCUUGCCGAGCCCGUCAUUUCUAGCUAAGUUUUGUAGGGGUGAUCUAGCAUUGGAAUAUUAUUGAAUUUUGUCCCUAAUCUCGUUGGGUAAGAUGCAGGUCGCAACCCAUCUCGGUGAGUUUUGUGAAUAUGGUGACAGAGCGGAGGAUAUGGUCUUUCAUAUGCUUUAUUCUACUUUACUUUUGUGGUAGUAUUCUCUCAUAUUUUUAUUUUUAGACUUUAUGGCCUUAGAUGCUUGAUUUGAGAGAUAAGCUGUAUAAGCUGUUUUAAACUUCCGAAACUCUUAUAUUCCUGUUUGACUAGCUAGCCUAAACUCCGCAGGCUGUGACUAGUCCUCUUUUUGGUA